CUCCCGCCCCGAGUGACUGAGGGCCGAGAGGCCCCGCCCCCGCCGCCCGGAGUGGACCCGGUGCCCGCGGAGCCCGAACUCCCGGCUGGGGCGUCUCUUCCAUCCGCUGGCGCUGAGCAGCCCCGGAGCCCGCGGGGAGGGCGGUGCGACCGCCGACCCCGCCCACGGCCUUCACACAGCCCUGGGGAUGGACCCGGCGGGCGGAAGCCCAGUCCGCCCUCGGGGCCGCGCGUCAGUUCGGUCCAGUGUUCCUGGUCAAGCAACCGUCCUGAGAUGCUGUCCUCCAAAUGGCUACCCAGGCUCUCUCCAUUGUGGUUCUCCACUCAGCCAGCAGAUGGGGAAAGAAAAAGGAAGAUCACUAGAGAAGAGGCAGGCUUGAAAGGGGAGACAUCGAUUUGGUCCACAUUCCAUUGGCUAGAACUCAGUCAUAUGGCCAAGGAGGCUGGAAAAAGUAGUGAGCUGUGUGCCCAGGAAAAAAAGGAAACACUAGCAAAUAUUUAACUAGUUUUUGCCAGCUGCAAUGGGAGCUAAAUGUUUUCUGGCUUAUUUCCAAUGAAAAUAGAGUGCCUCAGUCCCUGUAUUCUAAGAAAGACACUGAGAUUCACCUUGAGUCACAGGCACAUCCCUGAACAGACGAACUGACCAGGGGACUGCAAUGGGCUGAUGGCCUCAAGCCCACCAGUCCACCUGUUGAAUGAGAGGUGGGGUCGGCUUUCCCUGAAAUGUCUGGACUGCACGGGAAAGAGAUUCACAGCAGCUAAAUGUACUCAGGACUCUCCGAUUACCACUGUCUUUCCAAUUUGGGACUUGGCUGUCAUCAAUCCAGGGAAAGAUAUUCAGGAAACUUUCCCUUUAAGGUUAGAAGUGCUUUGAAAUCUAGAGCAUAUUCCUGAAACACCAUCGUGUUUCCUGAACAGACCUGUUCAGUGAAGUUUCCCACCCUUCACUACAAGCCCUAAGUGGUAACAGCCCAGUGGAGGCGUGGGGAGAGAGAGAGAGGAUGUACAGAAGAGGGACAGGCAUUCAGAGACAGAAUACUGGUGCUUUGGUCUCUGUCGCCCCACUCCAGCCAGGGGGCGCUUCAGAGUAGAGAUCACCAUCUUUUAACCCUGUCAAACCUGGACACUACACAUGUGUGCUCAGAGCAAGGCACCAAUUCAACAAACAUUUUAUUUAGGGCUUAUCAUAUUCCAGGCUCUGUUGUUAGGGAAAGCAUCCCCCAGUGAGAGGAUCAACAUAUGGAAAUAAUUUAAAUAUCUAUCUAUCUAUCUAAUGACUAUUAGAAAAACCACAGAAUUAUCUUAAAAGAUGAGCUAGAAUCAUAUGUAUUGACAGGGAAGGAUACUCGAGACUUACGGUGAGGGGAAAAAGUUUACUAACAGGCUGUAUAGUAUGGUCCCUGUUUUGAUUGUUUUUAAAGUAUAGAUAAAUGAUCAGAGUUGGAUUUACGGCAAGGCUAAGGCUCAGAAGCUCUCACUUGCAGAGAUCUUGUUCAAAACUCUGAACUUAAUUUUGUAUUUUUCAUAAAGAGGGUCUCCAAAAAAGCAUAAGUAUGAGGUCAAAAUCUGAAUCAUUCCCUGAUAUUUAUAUACAUGACCAACUUUAUGGCCAACCGUGGUUAUCUCAGGCAGUUGGAAUGCAGAGACUUUCUCUUUUCUAUCAUCCCAAAGAAUGCCUCCUGAAAUUCCUUUAUAGCCAUCCCUUCUCUUACCCAUAACCCCUGGCCAGCCCUCCCUGUGUUUCUACACCUAUCUCUGAGUGAGAUAACUCAUGGGCUUUGUAAACAGAAGUCCAUUAUUCAAAUAGUAGAUACUAUCUCUACCCUAUGUCCCAGCCAACCUAUGGGACACCCUCUCUCAUCAUCUUCCUCCAAGUUCUGCUUUUCCCUGUUUCCCAGUGACCAGUAUCAUGACCUUCCACUUCAUUCCUUUUAACCAAUAUUCCCUUAAUCUCCUAUUGUCUGUUUCUCUCCCACUCUGCUCAUUUUCUGACAAAAAGCAAAGACCAAAAAUUACAUAUAUGUGUUUCUAGGACAGAGACUUUAUUUCUCACUAGUGAUAAAAAUUUUCUAGCACAAUAAAUAUGCCUAAAAUCUACUUAAAACUUAAGACAAAUAAAAAUAGCUAGUAAAGUCCAUAAAACCAACAGCAGUACUUUAAUUAGAUUAUGGUGCUUUUUUGCAUAUGUUUUCCUUAUGUGGUAAUGUUUGGUGCCCAGAGAGGCUUAGGGCUAUUUACUGCUGUCUAAAAUUGGCUUUUUGGACCAGCUACACUUCCUUAAGCAUCUUCACAUUUUUUUUAUUUUGCAUUACAAAUCAAAAAUGCUACAUUCAGCCAGUAGUUCAGUGCAAUUAGUAGACUGUGAACUAUUUGAUCAUCAUGGAAUCAGUGCAGUAAUUAUCUGUGAUUAAACUUAAUUUACGUGAAUUGAAUAUGCAAGAAAUAUAAUUUAACUGUACCCUGUAUUAGUUCAAAUUAAGUUCAACUGCAUAUAAUAGUUAGCUGCUUUCUCUUGCAAAGGGAUUUUACAAAUUCUAGGCAGUUUGGGGUUGCCGUGGCCAGGUGUCCCAAAUUCUUUAAGAACUCAAUCUCCUUCUGGCUGUCAGCUCUUAUAAUCUCUAAAGUGUGGGCCUGGUAUUCAUGGUCUAGGAAGGUAACUGGCUCUCCGGCCAUCUCAUCUAUGUUCCAGGCUGGCAACAGAUGAGGAAGAAUAAACACAUAAACACUUAAUAAGGAGACUUCACCCAGAAAUGCUGCACAGUAUUCUCACACCUCUAUGGCAAAUACCCCAACAUCUGACUCAGUGAACUGUUCAUGAGAAUAGGAAAUGUCAUCUUUUAAUUGGACUGCAAUGCACCAACUAAAAAUUUGGGAUCUCUUACUAAAGGAAAAGGGGAGAUUAGGUUGAGUGAAGAAAUUUGCAUUCCCUGCCACGGUCUUAACAUAAAUAAUAUCAUGAUGAUCUAAAGAUGUUAUAUCUCUUCAUAAUACUUUGAAUUCUGUUAAAAGAUAAAGCACAUAAAAACCUUAAUAAAAAAAAGUAAAACCUAGUUCAAUCAGUAUAGUGAAUCAUCAGAAUUUAAAUAGAUUCAUAGUGUCAGCAGUGCACAGAUGGGCUGCAUUUGAGCAGAGGUUGCUUGGAAGGAUGCAGAAUACUCAGGAAGCAACCACUUCUUUUCCGUCAUUGGGAAACGGGUAAAAGCAGAACUUGGAGGAAGAUGAUGAGAGAGGGUGUCUUAUGGGCUGGCUGGGACAUAGGGUAGAGAUGGUAUCUACUCUUUGAACAGUUGUGGUCAUGAAGAUCUGGAAAGUGCAUAUCAGAUCUGCGUGUUUGACUGUGGAAUUCAGUGCUGCAGGACAGAAGGAAGCAGAAGGUAAGGUUCCUGUCCCAAAAGGCGUUUCCAUUUAGGCUGGGAAACAAGUUCAAUAAAUCCUUCAACUUUUCAUAUAUUCAGUAUACAAGAGCUCUCAGUACAGUGAUAGAAGACAAUCCACAAGUCGGUGUGUGAUUUUUUUUUUUCCAGUCAAAUGCAUAGACGAUUGGUGCUGUAAGUGAUUGCAUGUGUUCUGCUGAUGAGGCAGUAAGAGUGUAACUAAAGGAGGAAGAGGUUUGAAAAGGAGUGGGUAAGGAAAUCCAGAUUGCAGAUUGGGGAGUUAACAUUUAUUGAGCUCCGCUCUGUGUCAGGCACUUUGUCAGGUGCUUUAUGUAAUCUGUGGGAUAAUUACUGUUAUUCCAUUUUUCAGAUGAGGAGUCUGAGGCUCACAUCAG